GGGGGUGUUUUGGUUUCGACAGGGAGAUGGAAGCUUGGGAUGCAUGUGGUGCCUGAUCUAUGCACCUAAAUCUUAGUUCAAAUGUUAUAGUUGCAAACGACAAUAACUACUCUCUAGCAGCUUAGGCCGCUAGUGCAGACUAGGCCAGUUGUUCGUAGCCCCUAGUUUGUAUCGACUUAUACGAAAUCGUACGUGUUAUGUGUUUGGAUAGCCCUUACUAAAAUUUACAAACUCGCUCUCUGUGAUCCCUGAUGGCCGGGCAACAGCCGAGUUAAAUUAAUAGACCAAAUAAACAUGUAGAGUUCUAAGUGGAAGCUUUCUGGACGGCGGUUCGACUCCGCCCAUCUCCACCA
rnacentral:tmRNA from 1 species